rnacentral:tRNA from 1 species
UACAUGCUGGUGUAUAGGGCAUAAGAAUUUUUGGUAUUCUCGGGAUUGGUGUAAAUCCAUUGUAUGUAA